CUUGGUCAUUUAGAGGAAGUAAAAGUCGUAACAAGGUCUCCGUAGGUGAACCUGCGGAGGGAUCAUUACAAGUGACCCCGGUCUAACCACCGGGAUGUUCAUAACCCUUUGUUGUCCGACUCUGUUGCCUCCGGGGCGACCCUGCCUUCGGGCGGGGGCUCCGGGUGGACACUUCAAACUCUUGCGUAACUUUGCAGUCUGAGUAAACUUAAUUAAUAAAUUAAAACUUUUAACAACGGAUCUCUUGGUUCUGGCAUCGAUGAAGAACGCAGCGAAAUGCGAUAAGUAAUGUGAAUUGCAGAAUUCAGUGAAUCAUCGAAUCUUUGAACGCACAUUGCGCCCCCUGGUAUUCCAAAGGGCAUGCCUGUUCGAGCGUCAUUUGUACCCUCAAGCUUUGCUUGGUGUUGGGCGUCUUGUCUCUAGCUUUGCUGGAGACUCGCCUUAAAGUAAUUGGCAGCCGGCCUAUUGGUUUCGGAGCGCAGCACAAGUCGCACUCUCUAUCAGCAAAGGUCUAGCAUCCAUUAAGCCUUUUUUUCAACUUUUGACCUCGGAUCAGGUAGGGAUACCCGCUGAACUUAAGCAUAUCAAUAAGCGGA
rnacentral:rRNA from 1 species